rnacentral:rRNA from 1 species
AACGAACGCUGGCGGCAGGCUUAACACAUGCAAGUCGAACGGGAUCUUCGGAUCUAGUGGCAGACGGGUGAGGAACACGUGGGAACAUCCCUUUCAGUUCGGAAUAACGUUGGGAAACUAACGCUAAUACCGGAUACGUCCUUCGGGAGAAAGAUUUAUCGCUGAAAGAUUGGCCCGCGUCUGAUUAGCUAGUUGGUGAGGUAAUGGCUCACCGAGGCUACGAUCAGUAGCUGAUCUGAGAGGAUGAUCAGCCACAUUGGGACUGAGACACGGCCCAAACUCCUACGGGAGGCAGCAGUGGGGAAUAUUGGACAAUGGGCGCAAGCCUGAUCCAGCCAUGCCGCGUGAGUGAUGACGGCCUUCGGGUUGUAAAGCUCUUUUGUCCGGGAAGAUAAUGACUGUACCGGAAGAAUAAGCCCCGGCAAACUUCGUGCCAGCAGCCGCUGUAA